UACGGGGGGGGCAAGCGUUGUUCGGAAUUACUGGGCGUAAAGGGUGCGUAGGCGGCGCAGAAAGUUGGGUGUGAAAUCCCUCGGCUCAACCGAGGAACUGCGCCCAAAACUACUGUGCUUGAGGAAGAUAGAGGUAAGCGGAACUUACGGUGGAGCGGUGAAAUGCGUUGAUAUCGUAAGGAACACCUGUGGCGAAAGCGGCUUACUGGGUCGUUUCUGACGCUGAUGCACGAAAGCCAGGGGAGCAAACGGG
rnacentral:rRNA from 1 species